rnacentral:misc_RNA from 1 species
UUUCCGUAGGUGAACCUGCGGAAGGAUCAUUACCACACCCUUUAAACUCCAUAUGUGUUGAUUGUUGAUUGUUGAUGUUGUUGGGUGUUUUCUUGCACUUGACAUUUCUCAUUCCUCUCUCACUUAUGCGACCCGCGUACCCAUUUGAUUCACUUCUUUUUAUACGCUUUUCCAUGUCACUGUUCCUUGUUUUAUGUUCUAUGAUAUGAUAUGAUAUUAUAUGAUAUGAUAUGAUAUGAUAUGAUAGGAUACAAGGGCAGUGCUUGGUAAAGUCGUCACCCCCUUGAUACCUUCACCCACUCGAACCCAGCUCGCUUUCAGCGAUGGGGAGUGCCUGAUUGAAAUAUGGAAUAUGCUUCGAACUUAUGGGUAGGUGAAGACUCGUGGUGCACACACACCUUGCCAGUCGGAUCCAGUUAUUUACCAAAAUGAAUCCAACACUUUCAGCAACGGAUGUCUUGGCUCCC